rnacentral:rRNA from 1 species
GGGUUGUGAGGUUAAGCGACUAAGCGUACACGGUGGAUGCCCUGGCAGUCAGAGGCGAUGAAGGACGUGCUAAUCUGCGAUAAGCGUCGGUGAGGUGAUAUGAACCGUUAUAACCGGCGAUUUCCGAAUGGGGAAACCCAGUGUGUUUCGACACACUAUCAUUAACUGAAUCCAUAGGUUAAUGAGGCGAACCGGGGGAACUGAAACAUCUAAGUACMCCGAGGAAAAGAAAUCAACCGAGAUUCCCCCAGUAGCGGCGAGCGARCGGGGAGGAGCCCAGAGCCUGAAUCAGUGUGUGUGUUAGUGGAAGCGUCUGGAAAGGCGCGCGUUACAGGGUGACAGCCCUGUACAAAAAAAUGCACAUACUGUGAGCUCGAUGAGUAGGGCGGGACACGUGGUAUCCUGUCUGAAUAGGGGUGGACCAUCCUCCAAGGCUAAAUACUCCUGACU